AGAGUUUGAUCAUGGCUCAGAUUGAACGCUGGCGGCAGGCCUAACACAUGCAAGUCGAGCGGUAGCACAGAGAGCUUGCUCUCGGGUGACGAGCGGCGGACGGGUGAGUAAUGUCUGGGAAACUGCCUGAUGGAGGGGGAUAACUACUGGAAACGGUAGCUAAUACCGCAUAACGUCGCAAGACCAAAGUGGGGGACCUUCGGGCCUCAUGCCAUCAGAUGUGCCCAGAUGGGAUUAGCUAGUAGGUGGGGUAACGGCUCACCUAGGCGACGAUCCCUAGCUGGUCUGAGAGGAUGACCAGCCACACUGGAACUGAGACACGGUCCAGACUCCUACGGGAGGCAGCAGUGGGGAAUAUUGCACAAUGGGCGCAAGCCUGAUGCAGCCAUGCCGCGUGUGUGAAGAAGGCCUUCGGGUUGUAAAGCACUUUCAGCGGGGAGGAAGGCGGUGAGGUUAAUAACCUCAUCGAUUGACGUUACCCGCAGAAGAAGCACCGGCUAACUCCGUGCCAGCAGCCGCGGUAAUACGGAGGGUGCAAGCGUUAAUCGGAAUUACUGGGCGUAAAGCGCACGCAGGCGGUCUGUCAAGUCGGAUGUGAAAUCCCCGGGCUCAACCUGGGAACUGCAUUCGAAACUGGCAGGCUAGAGUCUUGUAGAGGGGGGUAGAAUUCCAGGUGUAGCGGUGAAAUGCGUAGAGAUCUGGAGGAAUACCGGUGGCGAAGGCGGCCCCCUGGACAAAGACUGACGCUCAGGUGCGAAAGCGUGGGGAGCAAACAGGAUUAGAUACCCUGGUAGUCCACGCCGUAAACGAUGUCGAUUUGGAGGUUGUGCCCUUGAGGCGUGGCUUCCGGAGCUAACGCGUUAAAUCGACCGCCUGGGGAGUACGGCCGCAAGGUUAAAACUCAAAUGAAUUGACGGGGGCCCGCACAAGCGGUGGAGCAUGUGGUUUAAUUCGAUGCAACGCGAAGAACCUUACCUGGUCUUGACAUCCACAGAACUUAGCAGAGAUGCUUUGGUGCCUUCGGGAACUGUGAGACAGGUGCUGCAUGGCUGUCGUCAGCUCGUGUUGUGAAAUGUUGGGUUAAGUCCCGCAACGAGCGCAACCCUUAUCCUUUGUUGCCAGCGGUCCGGCCGGGAACUCAAAGGAGACUGCCAGUGAUAAACUGGAGGAAGGUGGGGAUGACGUCAAGUCAUCAUGGCCCUUACGACCAGGGCUACACACGUGCUACAAUGGCAUAUACAAAGAGAAGCGACCUCGCGAGAGCAAGCGGACCUCAUAAAGUAUGUCGUAGUCCGGAUUGGAGUCUGCAACUCGACUCCAUGAAGUCGGAAUCGCUAGUAAUCGUAGAUCAGAAUGCUACGGUGAAUACGUUCCCGGGCCUUGUACACACCGCCCGUCACACCAUGGGAGUGGGUUGCAAAAGAAGUAGGUAGCUUAACCUUCGGGAGGGCGCUUACCACUUUGUGAUUCAUGACUGGGGUGAAGUCGUAACAAGGUAACCGUAGGGGAACCUGCGGUUG
rnacentral:rRNA from 1 species